AGUUUCAUUUUGGCUGAAACUGUAUUUCACACCGAGGGGCGGGGCUAACUGUUGCGAGGCUUUAAAACGGUUCUAAUAAAACACUCUAGUUGAAAUAUUUUUCCUGAUUCUUAUUGCUACAGCGAAGCAACACGCGUCUUCCCUUUUGACUGUCUUGGCUUGUCUGUUGUGAUGUUCGAGGACAUACUACGAUUUCUGAAGCAGUUUCCUGGACUUGGUAGCUCUCGUAGAUCCAGAAGCAAUGCAUCAUGGGAACUGUUUCGUUGUUAAGAAUAUAGACGGCAGCACGGUUUUACGGGUAAUAAUAUUAGUAAUGCUUUAGCGGUCCUUUUAUAUUGGGGUGUUUUACACUAGGAUGUUUAUGUGACGGUUAGUGGUAGAUUUAAUCACCAUGAUGGUAAACGGUGUGUGUGGUGGUGCAGUCGUUGUGCGAUGGUGUAACAAUUCAUACUUACCUGGCAGGGGAGAUACCAUGAUCAAGAAGGUGGUUCACCCAGGGUGAGGCUCAACCAUUGCACUCUCGGUUGUGUUGACCUCUGCGAAUUCCCCAAAUGUGGGAAUCUCGACUGCAUAAUUUCUGGUAGUGGGGGACUGCGUUCGCGCUCUCCCCUGAUAUUCAGUGUACUAAAGUCAGAGUUUUCAGUUAUUUCAGGUAAAUAAUGUUUUAUUUUUUAAUACCUUCUGUAGUAAUAGGUGCAGUACACUGCUUUUUCCUAAGAGAGAAGUGAGGAAUCUGCUGUAAUGUACUUGCAUGGGUCAAUCAUAAUGAAUAUGACAAGCAUUUCUUCUCUGAAAACACACAUGAUUUCAUUUAAAAAUGUCAUACAGUUAAAUUAUGAUGAAUUUAUUUUCUUUUCUAUUCUACUGUAUAUUAAAAAAGGAUGCACUCAGUACUUGGUCAGCGCUCCUUUAGCACGAAUUACUGCGUCAAUGUGGCAUGGCAUGGAGGUAAUCAGCCUGUGGCAUUCUAAAUCUAGAAUGAGGUUAUUAUGUAAGAAAAUGUAUCUUUUUGCAGUAUAAUUGACAAUAUAAUUGAGAUACACUGUAUUUUAAUGCUGCACAUUUUUAAAUGUGUGAAAGGGUCAAGGGACCCAGAAGUCUUAGCAACUAUUGCCAGAGCAGCGUUUUAUUUUACAGACAUCUCAAACACUUUUGAAUUACAAUAUGAUGCAACUUAGUUAUAUAGUCGUAGAUUAUGUGUAUUAUACAAUUUUUCUUUCUUGGCUAAAAGAAAAUGUCAGCCAUUUACCUCAACUCCAUCACAGAUACAGUACCUUGGAUGCAGUACCUGCUUAAUCUGACCUUUGGCAAAUACAAUGGCUAAAGUUUUAAAUGACUGGUGAAGAAUGACGUUGGCUACAUCGAGUAGUAAGUAUGCUGCACUAAACAAUUAAUUUUUUAUAAUUUUUCUUUCAAUAAAUUAAUUAUUAUAUUUUAGUCUGCUUGACCGUCACAUUAAACAAAGUAGCCAUCCUGACAGUAAAGCGAGGUGAAAGAUCUCCUGCUGAGGUAUGUGCAGCUGUUUCCACAGGCCUUCUGCCACCAAUGGAGACUGGGCCACACUUCAGGCUGAUCCGCAAGCUGGGCCUGACCAGGAGAGGAAAAUCGCACAGGAGACGUACUGCUCCUGUGCAAUUGAAGUGAUGAAGGAAGAUGACAUCGCCACCAAGUCACUGAAACACUUCCAUACAUUCAACAAAGAGGCUCCUGCUUCAGCUCCUGUGUGAUGCUCUGCUAUUGAUAGCUCACAGCACCUUAGAAAGACAAGGUACACACACAUAGAGGAGCUUAGCAAGAUCCUUGUUGAGAUUGUCAGAAUUUACUCAGCGCUCUAGGGUAAUGCUCUGUUUGGCCGUACAAACAGAGAUUCAUCUGAGUCAUUGUUGGUGCAAAAGCUGAAGUUCAGCAAACGCUACUUAGCUGCCCACUCGAUAGACUCCUGAAAGAACUGGCUGAUGUAUGGCAUCAUUAAACAGCUUCAUCCUAAUUGUGGAGGAAAUGUUUCAGCAUGUGCAGCAUAGAGUGAUGGUGGAUGAUGCUGAACUCAGCAAACUUGGUAUUCCGAUCCUGAAAAUAAACUCCUAGUGCGUUACUGAGUUUAUCAGAAGCAGCAGGUAUCUGUUCCUCCACUUUCACCAGUGAAGUCAACUCUACUGUGGAAAAAGCAGAGCACAGUGGCACUGGACAUCCGGCUACAUUUAAAGUUUACAUCAGAGCACUGUGUGGCCAACCCACUCAAGGCCACAAAAAGAACAGAAAAAAUACCUGCUGUGAACAUUUGAAGUUGUCCACAAUCAAAGACCUUGCUGGACAGAAAUGUGAGACUUAUGUGGACUAUAAAAAAGCAGUAGACAUUGCCCGGACCCUCAAUCCCUGUAACUUUGUAUAAGCAGAUAUCUUCAAUUGUAUAUACCACUGCACAUAUUGCUGUAACUACUUGACUUGUUUCAAAGUGGUGUUAUAGAAAAAUCUCCAUAAUUAGAACAUUUUUAUUGCCAUUCAAAAGAAGUACCUCAAGUACUUUAAGUUAUUUAUUUAUAUUAUAUUUUAUAGUUUCUCAUUGUUGUUUUCAAAAUACUUGAAAGAUGAAAGUCAUUCAA